rnacentral:lncRNA from 1 species
ACUUGAGUACAUUUUUAAAAACUUUAUUGUUGCUUCUUUGGAUAUUAAAAAUAAGGGCAAAGUUUUUUUAACCAAAUGAAAAAAGGAGGGCCCUCGUCAAUCAUUCUCAACCACGAAAUCUCAGUUCCAGGGUACCACGGCCCCUGCACUGGACUCUUUUCCUUUUGUUAAACAGACACAGACCUAUGAGACCAAAGUCAUAGGAACAGAGUUGGAGCCGCCAGAAUAAUGUCAACAAUCAUGGAUGUUCCUAAAGGAAACGGAUGACUACAGGAACCACGGAUCCCG